GACGAACGCUGGCGGCGUGCUUAACACAUGCAAGUCGAGCGGUAAGGCCCUUUCGGGGGUACACGAGCGGCGAACGGGUGAGUAACACGUGGGUGACCUGCCCUCAGCUCUGGGAUAAGCCUGGGAAACCGGGUCUAAUACUGGAUAUGACUCCAUGACGCAUGUUGUGGGGUGGAAAGCCUUGUGCGGCUGAGGAUGGGCCCGCGGCCUAUCAGCUUGUUGGGGGGGUGAU
rnacentral:rRNA from 1 species